AUGCGGUCUGCCCUCCAGCCAAGGCGUCAGCGGCGGCAGUGCAGGCCUCAUUGCCAGCCACCGGCUCCGCACGUUCCGGUCCCGGUGUUCCCGUACGACGUCGACCCGAUGCAGUUCGCGCUGAACCUCGAGUACACCGAGGCCGACUUCUUCCUCCACGCGGCGUUCGGCGUUGAUUAUUAUUAUUACGUUGAUGAAAAUCCACUUAGAUGGAAGCAAGUUGGUACUUUAAAUCCAUAUGACGCCCUUCAUUUUGGUUGCAGGGCCAUCCAGAACACGGUGGGGUUGCUAGGCGUGGAGGCGGGGCAGGACGCCGUCUUCCGCGCGCUGCUCUUCGAGCGUAAGCACGAGACGGUGCCACCCUACAAGGGGAUCACCGUGGCAGAGUUCUCCGCCACGAGAAACCAGCUGGGGAAGUGCGGGGUCAAGGACAAGGGGCUCACUGUGCCGCCCGAGCUCGGCCCAGAGGGCAAGAUCUGCACCAACGUGCUCUCCGCCGACAGGGACUCCCUCCUACGCCCGGACACCGGCCGAGUUGCUCAGGAUCCUCUACCUCACCGGCAACGAGCAUAUCGCUGGUGGCUUCUACCCGGAAGGAGCAAACGGCAAGAUAGCACCAGAGUUUCUUAG
rnacentral:rRNA from 1 species